rnacentral:lncRNA from 1 species
AUUCGCCUCCAACGAGGGGACAGCGAAUCUGCUGUCGUGUGCAGUCCACAGCAACCACAGGUAUAUGAAAUAAUGUCACUACAUCGGAGCAGCGCCUCUGCUUGCACACCUAUGGGAGUCUGCAGCUGUGACACGUAGAAGUUGGCCACAUCCAGGUCGGUGGCUCCAAAGUGGGCGGCCACACGCACACCCUCGUGCAACGUGAAGCUCACCUGAUGACCCACCAUGGCCAGCAGGCUGCGGAGGUAACGCUCCCGAAGGGCGGCUCGUGCCCGCUGCUCCUGGGAUUCCAGGGAUUCUUGAGCUAUGGGACACUCCUGGAUUUCAGGAACCUCUGGCCUCAAGGGGGCUCUGCGUCCAUCAGGGGCAAAGCCACGGCUGAAGCCAUCAGGGCCCCGGGGCAGCCGGAGCACAGGCACGGGAAUGUUCACUGGAGUUUGCAUUGUCUUGGCUGUUGAGUGAAGAAAAAGAGCAGGAAGUCAUUACAUGGUAAGCAUGGGGCUAAUGGAGGAGGGAGGAGUGGAAGCAGAGGCUGGUCUACCAGGCAGCUCCACUGCACCUGCCCCAGACUGAUCCACCCUCCUAAAAUCUGUGCCAUCGUCCCCCAAUGGCUUGGAUCAGAAACAAAAGUGUCACAUGCACAAAAACAUGAGCCCCGUGAAGGCAAGGACCUUUGUCUGCUUUUAUAAUGUUUUUAUCUCAACUUAUAGGCAAUAAAUAUUUGCCAAAAGAUGAACCUGGCCAGGCAUGGUGGCUCAUGCCUGUAAUCCCAGCCCUUUGGGAGGCCAAGGCAGGAGGAUCACUUUGAAGCUGGGAGUUUGAGACCAGCCUGGGCAAUAUAGCGAGACCCCAUUUCUAAAAAUAUAUAUAUAUAUUUUACAUUAGCUGGGCUACUCAGGAGGCUGAGGGAGAAGGAUUAGUUGAGCCCAGGAGAUGGAGGCUGCAGUGAGCUGUAAUUGUGCAACUGCACUCCAGCUUGGGUGACAGAGUGAGACACUGUCUCUAAAAAAAAGAAUAAACCCCAGCUUUCUCUCACACACAACCCACCCAAUCCAUCAGGAAAUUCUAUCUUCUAGAUAGAUUCCCACUCACACAUGAGCUAGCUUGAAAGGGCUCCCAGUGGCCAAAUCUGGAAUUAUUUGAACAAUACAAUAAUGAUAGUUACAGAUUAUAACCCACUGGAUAAAACAGAAAUCCAGAAUCCAUACCAAUAAUAAAUAAAUGAAUAAAUAAGGAAGAGAAGGAAAAUAUAAUCCUUACUGUAGACUGGCA